CUGGAAAUCAGGAAAAUUCGAAAAUAAAUAAAUAAAUAAACUGAAAAUUCAGAAAAUAAAUAAAUUAACUGGAAAUAAUUAAAUAAAUAAAUAAAUAAACUGGAAAUAAAUAAACUGAAAAUUCAAAAAUAAAUAAAUAAACUGGAAAUCAGGAAAAUAAAUAAAUAAACUGGAAAUAAAUAAAUAAAUAAACAAACUGGAAAUAAAUAAACUGAAAAUACAAAAAUAAAUAAAUAAAUAAACUUGAAAUUCAGAAAAUAAAUAAAUAAAUAAACUGAAAAUUCAGAAAAUAAAUAAAUAAAUAAACUGGAAAUAAAUAAUCUGGAAAAUAAUUAAACUGAAAAUUCGAAAAUAAAUAAAUAAAUAAAUAAACUGGAAAUAAAUAAAUAAAUAAACUGGAAAUAAAUAAACUGAAAAUUCAAAAAUAAAUAAAUAAAUAGACUUGAAAAUUCAGAAAAUAAAUAAAUAAACUGGAAAUAAAAUUUUCAGAAAAUAAAUAAAUUGAAAAUUCAGAAAAUAAAUAAAUAAACUGAAAAAUUCGAAAUAUACUACUCCAUUUAAUUAACUUCAAAAUUGGAUUAAUUAGACAAGUAAUGGUAAAGUGUGGUGGGUCCAAUUGAUAAAGUGUAGUAAUUUAAAAAGUAAGGGAGGGUAUAUAUGUCCAAAAAGCAGAGUAGGAAGUUAAUUGGUGGACAAAAUUUUAGAGGCAAACAGGAAGAUGAUUCGUGGACGGAGGGAGUAAGAAAAUAAGACACCAACACAUGCCCAGCUGGAUUUCAGCCCCACCCCUACCACAUUCCAUCAAUACUAUAACCUAUCUUUCUCGCUUUAUUACGAGGAUGUAUAUUGGUAAAAUAAAAAUAAAUAAAAAUAAAAAAAUUAAGUCUUUAUGGAAUAUUCAAGUAGUAAAGACAUUUUUUAAAUCAUACCGUAAUUCUUAUUCAUCAAAUGAAAAAAAU
rnacentral:lncRNA from 1 species